UACGUAGGUGGCAAGCGUUGUCCGGAUUUACUGGGCGUAAAGGAUGCGUAGGCGGAUGUUUAAGUGAGAUGUGAAAUACCCGAGCUCAACUUGGGUGCUGCAUUUCAAACUGGAUAUCUAGAGUGCAGGAGAGGUAAGUGGAAUUCCUAGUGUAGCGGUGAAAUGCGUAGAGAUUAGGAAGAACACCAGUGGCGAAGGCGACUUACUGGACUGUAACUGACGCUGAGGCAUGAAAGCGUGGGGAGCAAACAGG
rnacentral:rRNA from 1 species